GUGUUCACCUUGGCAGCACAUAUACUAAAAAUUUGAAACGGCGCAGAGAUUAGCACGGCCCCUGUGAAAGCAUGACAAGCAAAUUGGUGAAGCGUUUCAUGUUUUA